GGGAAUCUGCCCUUCGGUUGGGAAUAACUGAGAGAAAUUUCAGCUAGUACCUUAUAAUGUCUUCGGACCAAAGAUUUAUCGCCGAGGGAUGAGCCCGCGUAGGAUUAGCUAGUUGGUGGGGUAAUGGCCUACCAAGGCGACGAUCCUUAGCUGGUCUGAGAGGAUGAUCAGCCACACUGGGACUGAGACACGGCCCAGACUCCUACGGGAGGCAGCAGUGGGGAAUAUUGGACAAUGGGCGAAAGCCUGAUCCAGCAAUGCCGCGUGAGUGAUGAAGGCCUUAGGGUUGUAAAGCUCUUUUACCAGGGAUGAUAAUGACAGUACCUGGAGAAUAAGCUCCGGCUAACUCCGUGCCAGCAGCCGCGGUAAUACGGAGGGAGCUAGCGUUGUUCGGAAUUACUGGGCGUAAAGCGCGCGUAGGCGGCUGUUCAAGUCAGAGGUGAAAGCCCGGGGCUCAACCCCGGAACUGCCUUUGAAACUAGAUAGCUAGAAUCAUGGAGAGGUCAGUGGAAUUCCGAGU
rnacentral:rRNA from 1 species